GUGGGGAAUUUUGGACAAUGGGCGCAAGCCUGAUCCAGCAAUGCCGCGUGCAGGAAGAAGGCCUUCGGGUUGUAAACUGCUUUUGUACGGAACGAAACGGUCCGGGUUAAUACCCUGGGCUAAUGACGGUACCGUAAGAAUAAGCACCGGCUAACUACGUGCCAGCAGCCGCGGUAAUACGUAGGGUGCAAGCGUUAAGCGGAAUUACUGGGCGUAAAGCGUGCGCAGGCGGUUGUGUAAGACAGGCGUGAAAUCCCCGGGCUCAACCUGGGAAUUGCGCUUGUGACUGCACAGCUGGAGUGCGGCAGAGGGGGAUGGAAUUCCGCGUGUAGCAGUGAAAUGCGUAGAUAUGCGGAGGAACACCGAUGGCGAAGGCAAUCCCCUGGGCCUGCACUGACGCUCAUGCACGAAAGCGUGGGGAGCAAACAGGAUUAGAUACCCGGGUAGUCC
rnacentral:rRNA from 1 species